AUAGCUUCUAAGCCAUUUGGCUAAGAUCAAGUGUAAUAUCUUUUCGUAUCAGUUUGAUAUCUGAUAUGUCCUCUAUCAAAGAACAACAUAUUAAAUGGGUUUGGGGAGCAGGGAGUUGGAAUAGGAGCUUGUUCUGUCCACUCCAUGUAUCAACCUAGCAUUUCAGUACCUCCAGGAAUGGUGCACCCCUU
ensembl:snRNA U2 U2 spliceosomal RNA